GAAUGUUCUUGGAUGGUGAGUUGCGCCAAUAUUUCUCCUGCUUGCUGAAGCUCUUUACCACCCCGAUGACGAUCUUCUUGUUCCUAAAAAAGAUUGCAACAAGGAGAAGAUUUAUUGGGGGGGAGGUCAGAAUCAGGAGGAUUAGGUGUUGUGUCUGUAGUCUGUAGAGGCAAAGAGCGGCAGAUUUGGGUGUGGAAGGCAAUCGUGCUGGGUGAAGCGAGUUCGUUGCGGGGAGGAAGUGGAGAGACGUGAGAGUG
rnacentral:lncRNA from 1 species